CCCUUUUCAGUUAUACAUCUUUAUUAAUAUGGAACUGUGUAUUGACCGGUUUAUGUACAGUUUUUGAUUCCUGCUCUAAUUUUUGAAGGUUUUCAAGAAUUAUUGUGUGACAUGGCUUCAGUGUCUCUCUGUCAUGGGAUAGAGGAAUGUUUUGUAUUUACUAAGAAGAAACACUCAAUAACUAACAAUGGAUCUCCCUAAAAGCUGCAGCUCAGAGGCUACACAAUGGUAAAAUUAUCUUAUACUAUGUGUGUUUGAUUAGGUGACAUCUAGACUGAGCUAUUAUUAUAAUAAGCAAUGACUACUAUUAGCACACAAACAUGAUGUGUUGAUAAUAAUGUCUGUAACCAGGUUUUAUGUAUUCUUGCCUGGAGUAACCUGUCCUUUUGCAAUAUAAUUAAAAACGGUACACGGAAGAGUAAUAAUCAUUGAUUCACUUCGCACAUGCAAUUUAGUAAAUAGAGGUCUAUUCGUUAAAUCCAAGUACCUCCAGGUUGGCAAAAUUCUCCAGAUUCACAAAA